rnacentral:rRNA from 1 species
GGCGGCGUGCCUAAUACAUGCAAGUCGAACGAGUUCUCGUUGAUGAUCGGUGCUUGCACCGAGAUUCAACAUGGAACGAGUGGCGGACGGGUGAGUAACACGUGGGUAACCUGCCCUUAAGUGGGGGAUAACAUUUGGAAACAGAUGCUAAUACCGCAUAGAUCCAAGAACCGCAUGGUUCUUGGCUGAAAGAUGGCGUAAGCUAUCGCUUUUGGAUGGACCCGCGGCGUAUUAGCUAGUUGGUGAGGUAAUGGCUCACCAAGGCGAUGAUACGUAGCCGAACUGAGAGGUUGAUCGGCCACAUUGGGACUGAGACACGGCCCAAACUCCUACGGGAGGCAGCAGUAGGGAAUCUUCCACAAUGGACGCAAGUCUGAUGGAGCAACGCCGCGUGAGUGAAGAAGGCUUUCGGGUCGUAAAACUCUGUUGUUGGAGAAGAAUGGUCGGCAGAGUAACUGUUGUCGGCGUGACGGUAUCCAACCAGAAAGCCACGGCUAACUACGUGCCAGCAGCCGCGGUAAUACGUAGGUGGCAAGCGUUAUCCGGAUUUAUUGGGCGUAAAGCGAGCGCAGGCGGUUUUUUAAGUCUGAUGUGAAAGCCCUCGGCUUAACCGAGGAAGCGCAUCGGAAACUGGGAAACUUGAGUGCAGAAGAGGACAGUGGAACUCCAUGUGUAGCGGUGAAAUGCGUAGAUAUAUGGAAGAACACCAGUGGCGAAGGCGGCUGUCUGGUCUGUAACUGACGCUGAGGCUCGAAAGCAUGGGUAGCGAACAGGAUUAGAUACCCUGGUAGUCCAUGCCGUAAACGAUGAAUGCUAGGUGUUGGAGGGUUUCCGCCCUUCAGUGCCGCAGCUAACGCAUUAAGCAUUCCGCCUGGGGAGUACGACCGCAAGGUUGAAACUCAAAGGAAUUGACGGGGGCCCGCACAAGCGGUGGAGCAUGUGGUUUAAUUCGAAGCAACGCGAAGAACCUUACCAGGUCUUGACAUCUUUUGAUCACCUGAGAGAUCAGGUUUCCCCUUCGGGGGCAAAAUGACAGGUGGUGCAUGGUUGUCGUCAGCUCGUGUCGUGAGAUGUUGGGUUAAGUCCCGCAACGAGCGCAACCCUUAUGACUAGUUGCCAGCAUUUAGUUGGGCACUCUAGUAAGACUGCCGGUGACAAACCGGAGGAAGGUGGGGAUGACGUCAAAUCAUCAUGCCCCUUAUGACCUGGGCUACACACGUGCUACAAUGGAUGGUACAACGAGUUGCGAGACCGCGAGGUCAAGCUAAUCUCUUAAAGCCAUUCUCAGUUCGGACUGUAGGCUGCAACUCGCCUACACGAAGUCGGAAUCGCUAGUAAUCGCGGAUCAGCACGCCGCGGUGAAUACGUUCCCGGGCCUUGUACACACCGCCCGUCACACCAUGAGAGUUUGUAACACCCGAAGCCGGUGGCGUAACCCUUUUAGGGAGCGAGCCGUCUAAGGUG